rnacentral:rRNA from 1 species
UACGAAGGAUCCAAGCGUUAUCCGGAUUUACUGGGUUUAAAGGGUGCGUAGGUGGGUUGGUAAGUCAGUGGUGAAAUACUUUCGCUUAACGAAGGAACUGCCAUUGAUACUACCAGUCUUGAAUGUAGUGGAGGUAGGCGGAAUGCGUCAUGUAGCGGUGAAAUGCUUAGAUAUGACGCAGAACACCAAUUGCGAAGGCAGCUUGCUACACUACUAUUGACACUGAGGCACGAAAGCGUGGGGAUCAAACAGG